GAUGAACGCUAGCUACAGGCUUAACACAUGCAAGUCGAGGGGAAACGGCAUUAAGUGCUUGCACUUUUUGGACGUCGACCGGCGCACGGGUGAGUAACGCGUAUCCAACCUUCCCAUGACUAAGGGAUAACCUGCCGAAAGGCAGACUAAUACCUUAUGGUCUUCACUGACGGCAUCAGAUGUGAAGUAAAGAUUUAUCGGUUAUGGAUGGGGAUGCGUCUGAUUAGCUUGUUGGCGGGGUAACGGCCCACCAAGGCAACGAUCAGUAGGGGUUCUGAGAGGAAGGUCCCCCACAUUGGAACUGAGACACGGUCCAAACUCCUACGGGAGGCAGCAGUGAGGAAUAUUGGUAAAUGGGCGAGAGCCUGAACCAGCCAAGUAGCGUGCAGGAUGACGGCCCUAUGGGUUGUAAACUGCUUUUGUAUGGGGAUAAAGUCAAUCACGUGUGAUUGUUUGCAGGUACCAUACGAAUAAGGACCGGCUAAUUCCGUG
rnacentral:rRNA from 1 species